rnacentral:piRNA from 1 species
UCCCAUAAGAUCGUCAUCUCCGCCGCAAC